GGAGAGGUGGCCGAGUGGCUGAAGGCACCACACUGCUAACGUGGCAGGCCGAAAGGCCUCGAGGGUUCGAAUCCCUCCCUCUCCGCCA
rnacentral:tRNA from 1 species